UGCUCUGUUUCCUCCCUUUCUCCUCCUUUUUUCUUCUUGUUCCUGUGAUGUGAAGUAGGUGCAAAUCUCAAAAGGACGACAACAAACACUAAUGGCCAUCAUAACUUGGUAAAAUCCAAAUCUUCUUAUUAAGUCUAGGGUUAGUUCCAUCUAAUCUUCUCCUAUCACCGAGCAUCCACCAUUUCUGUUUUCUUAUCCUCUUAAAACCAUAAAACCCCAAUUAUUUUUUUUCAAUUCUAAAGGACUAGAUGGAAUUAAGCUAGCAGACUUCAUCUCAAGGUACUCAACCUUUCUGAAACUAAGCUGACAAUCCCAAUUUUAAUUCCUUCAUUUGUUAUCCGCAAGAACAUUCUUCAUGUAGACACACAUGUCAUUACAACUCUUAAGGGUUCUUAUCGGAUUCCCAACAUAUAUGUAGCUGAAAUGCGAUAAUCAACCUAGAGAUUUUGAGAUACGAAGGUGUCUCUGAAUGUAAUCAUUUUUAAGUAUAUGAUCAUGAAACCAAGUUCAUUUAUGCUAGAUGCUAAUAAAUUUAAGAAGUUCGUGGAAAAGGUUUAAAAUCAAUGUUUACAAGAGAUGGGGUUGGUGGUCUGAAGAUCAAAUUCAAACAGCAUUUAGAAAGGUCCUUGUUGUUACGACAAUUAUGGAUUUCCUUGUGAUUGAAAUGGGUUAUGAUUCUUCUAGUAUUGAGGAAACCCCAUGGAUUUUAAAUAAUAGCUUGAAUGUUAGUCUCUGAGGGUCUGAUUGAGGAAGUUGUUUUCUCUGAAUGCACUUUCAGCAAUGGUGAUCAAGUCCUUUUCGAACAAGUUUGUAAACCUGUACGAGCAAGAAGCUCCUGAACUAAUGAAAGCAUAUUCCACAAUCAGUUUAACAACUGAGAGGCGAGAGCUACUUCUGAAAAGAUGGAUUUCUAGAGAUGAACAUGUGUUAUUGGAGGUCACAUUCUACGAUCAUGCAUCCUUUGCGCUUAUGUGUACUUAUAUGGGUGAUGCAAUGGAACCUGUUGAUUUGCCAACACCAGCUUUAAUUGAGGACCACAACCAGUAGAGUUUUGGACUGGGAAACAGAUAUUCAGCGUUCUAAUUCACCCUCGUGCUCAGAUAAGGGUCUGUGUGAAUCUUACUCUCGUGGAAAAAUCUUACAAGCAGGUGCAAAGAAACUUUUGCCCGAACGAAGGGUUUGUCUAUAUUCAGAAUAGUGAACUUAUUUGUGGGCAAGUUGGUAAAGCUACUUUAGUGCUCGCUGGAUUGGAACCAUGGGUUCUUGAAUGGUAUUGAAAACAAAUAAAUGAUGCACUUCUUCAGAAAUACAAAAAUGGGACACUUAUAGUUCAACCAAGUUGUGAUCUGCUCAAACAUUGGAAUCUGAGCUAACUUAUCUUCUGAAUGGCUUUAGAGAGAAAACUGGAAAGGUUUGUAUGGGAACCGAAGAAUAAAACAAAAAUGUCUAAAACUACAUUGGAGGAACAACCCUCUGAUUAUAUCGCAGUGCGGAUCCAGAGGGUCCCCCGAUAAUAUCAGUCAGAUCAUUGCAUGUGUUGGUCAGCAAUCAGUUGGGGGAUACCCUGCUUCUAGCAGAUUUACUGAUAGAAUCUUCCCCACUUCCCUAGGAACUCAACCCCACCUGAUGAUAAAGGAUUUGUCGAGAACUCAUUCUGCACCGGCUUGAUUGCCACUGAGUUGUUCUUUCAUACUAUUAUGGCAGGACGUGAAGGUCUUGUGGAUACUGCGGCUACAUGUCUCGUAGACUGAUCAAAGCCUUGGAAGAUCUCUCCAGUCAGUAUGAUAAUACAGUUUGCAAAGUUAGUGCGGUGUCAUCCAAUUUCUUUACGGAGAUGAUGGCAUAGAUCCCUCUAAAAUGGAAGGAAAAGAUGGAUCUCCCUUAGAUUUUGAUAGAUUGUACUUGAAAGCAAAGGCUAUCCGCCCCAGCUUGUCUCCUAAAGAGAUCAAAAAGCUUACUGAUGCUAGACUCUGAGCACAUGAUAUGACCCCAAAAGGUGAUUGUUCAGAAACCUUUAAGAUAUCUCUCCUGGAUGAUGAAGCUUUCAAGGAAGGGAAAGAAGGUGGAUUUCUUUACAAAUGCAUCACUUCGUUAACGAACACAAGAAAGGGUUUUCCAUUAGAUGACGAGAAAGUGGACUCUCAGUCUCUAGGACAGUUCUCUGCAAAUGUAGCUGGAACAGUUACAGACAAUGUCAACUUGGGGACGCUACUACCGUGUGUCAUGCCUUAGUAUCAUUGAUCCAGGUGUGUGUUCGUUAAUUUUAUACGGUAUUCGACAUCUAAAUUAAAUGGGUAAAAGUUCAUCAUGUUUUCUGGAUAAAUAUCUGCUGUUGAUAUUCAGAUCACUUUACUCAAGGAAUGUGGGCUUUUUGAGAGAGUGAAGAAUUGUUGAUAAGUUAGCAGUCAAGAAACAACAAUCGUCUUUGCUACUGAAGCUUAAUCGCCUUGAGGAGGGAGAGAAAAUUUAUAGGGUUCUGCUGUCUAUAAAUCCUGACAAUUACAGAUAUUAUACUGGAUUGCAAAAAUGUGUAGGCUUAUUAUCUUCAGAGACUGGCCAGUAUUCGUUCGAUGAAAUUCAAAAAUUAGAUGCCUUGUACAAAUCAUAAAGGGAGCAAUAUACUUGGUCCUCUGCAGUUAAGAACAGUGGAUUCAAAAGUUUGGUGUUAGGAGGUUAUAUUUGGUAAGCGACUGCAAGAGAUUUGUGGGUGCAGCAACUCAUUUGUGAUCCUACUUUUGCCAGUUUGAAUACCACGCAUGAGGCGUGAAGGAUUCGGGAUUGUAGAUGGCCUAAAAGCUGCUUGGUGCUCCGAAAUGGACUUCAUGGGUCAAAAGCUGCUUGGUGAUCUGAAAUGGGCCUCAUGGGUCAAAAUAGCGUCUCCCGCUCCAGGGUCUUUCCUUAAAAAGCUGCCCCGUUAUUCCACGAUUUAUAAGGAGAUACCAGACUACCAGUCUUACUAAGUGUUGAUACCAUUUCAUCGAUCUAACAAUCAGGAUCAAUGGGAUUUUCUUGGUCCUAUAUGAAACUGUAUCACCACUUAGUAAAACUGGUAUCUCCCUUUAUAAAUCAUGCGUUAUUCCGCAUAGCGACUAUACAACUAUUGAUUGCUUACAAUGUCUUGCGCUUGUAGAAUUAUAAAAAAUUUAAUUGCAUUGUGAAAUGGUCAAACCUGUGCUGAUGCAAUGGGUUUGAACGACGAGGACCUAAUUUAUUUGCAACAUUGUUAAUGGAAGGUGUUAGAUUA